rnacentral:misc_RNA from 1 species
GAGUGGUUUUGGACCCGUGUCUGCCGGUAGAUCCCCNGUCUUUGUGCGGCCGACUAUCGGCGCCGAGUCCCGUCGGUUCUGUCGCUUAUGUUACUGUUGCCUUUCAAGUGCUUGCGUGCUGGUACCCGAACUACGGGUAGUGGUGCUCAACACACGUUGCCUCGCGGUGGACACCUUCGGGUGUGCCGCUGCGGCCAAAUGGCGCUUGCGGCGUUGCCUCRUGGUGCGGCACGUUAACUCUGCCGGUGCUAUCAAGGAAACCUCGCUCCCGCUAUUGGUCUCGGAUGUUGCCUACGCUAAAGUCUCUUGGCCCGUUUGGUUGCCUUGACCCGACCCUAARAAGCUCUCCSAAAAAUUGAGAACAACCGGAACAGGUGUUGCCUCUACCUCUCCACAGUUAGUGGUAGGAUUACGCAACAUUCUGCGCCGAUCCUCAAACUAGWAGGAUGAGCUUAGCCCGCUCAAUCGCGACAACCGGCCCGNYCRWUGSCUCUGCCUUGACACGCAAGUGGAUGGGCGGACAACUUCCGACGCUKGACGUCAAAGAGGACGUGCUACCUGGUUGAUCCUGCCA